UACGUAGGGUGCGAGCGUUAAUCGGAAUUACUGGGCGUAAAGCGUGCGUAGGCGGUUCUGGAAGUCAGCUGUGAAAGCCCCGGGCUUAACCUGGGAAUGGCGGUUGAAACUGCAGAGCUGGAGUCCUGGAGAGGAAGGCGGAAUUCUCGGUGUAGAGGUGAAAUUCGUAGAUAUCGAGAGGAACACCGGUGGCGAAGGCGGCCUUCUGGACAGUGACUGACGCUGAGACGCGAAAGCGUGGGGAGCAAACAGG
rnacentral:rRNA from 1 species